rnacentral:rRNA from 1 species
UAAGGAAUAUUGGUCAAUGGGCGAAAGCCUGACGCAGCGACGCCGCGUGCGGGAAGAAGGCCUUCGGGUUGUAAACCGCUUUCAGGAGGGACGAAGCCACUCGGGUUAAUAGCCCAGAGGGUGACGGUACCUCCAGAAGAAGCCCCGGCUAACUACGUGCCAGCAGCCGCGGUAAUACGUAGGGGGCAAGCGUUGUCCGGAUUUAUUGGGCGUAAAGAGCGUGUAGGCGGCCGUGUAGGUCUGACGUGAAAUCUGGAGGCUCAACCUCCAGCUGUCGUUGGAAACCGCGCGGCUAGAGUCCGGAAGAGGAGAGUGGAAUUCCUGGUGUAGCGGUGAAAUGCGCAGAUAUCAGGAAGAACACCUAUGGCGAAGGCAGCUCUCUGGGACGGUACUGACGCUGAGACGCGAAAGCGUGGGGAGCGAACAG